rnacentral:rRNA from 1 species
UGCAAGUCGAGCGGAACGACUUAACUGAACCUUCGGGGAACGUUAAGGGCGUCGAGCGGCGGACGGGUGAGUAAUGCCUAGGAAAUUGCCCUGAUGUGGGGGAUAACCAUUGGAAACGAUGGCUAAUACCGCAUGAUGCCUACGGGCCAAAGAGGGGGACCUUCGGGCCUCUCGCGUCAGGAUAUGCCUAGGUGGGAUUAGCUAGUUGGUGAGGUAAUGGCUCACCAAGGCGACGAUCCCUAGCUGGUCUGAGAGGAUGAUCAGCCACACUGGAACUGAGACACGGUCCAGACUCCUACGGGAGGCAGCAGUGGGGAAUAUUGCACAAUGGGCGCAAGCCUGAUGCAGCCAUGCCGCGUGUGUGAAGAAGGCCUUCGGGUUGUAAAGCACUUUCAGUCGUGAGGAAGGUGGUGUAGUUAAUAGCUGUAUUAUUUGACGUUAGCGACAGAAGAAGCACCGGCUAACUCCGUGCCAGCAGCCGCGGUAAUACGGAGGGUGCGAGCGUUAAUCGGAAUUACUGGGCGUAAAGCGCAUGCAGGUGGUUUGUUAAGUCAGAUGUGAAAGCCCGGGGCUCAACCUCGGAAUAGCAUUUGAAACUGGCAGACUAGAGUACUGUAGAGGGGGGUAGAAUUUCAGGUGUAGCGGUGAAAUGCGUAGAGAUCUGAAGGAAUACCGGUGGCGAAGGCGGCCCCCUGGACAGAUACUGACACUCAGAUGCGAAAGCGUGGGGAGCAAACAGGAUUAGAUACCCUGGUAGUCCACGCCGUAAACGAUGUCUACUUGGAGGUUGUGGCCUUGAGCCGUGGCUUUCGGAGCUAACGCGUUAAGUAGACCGCCUGGGGAGUACGGUCGCAAGAUUAAAACUCAAAUGAAUUGACGGGGGCCCGCACAAGCGGUGGAGCAUGUGGUUUAAUUCGAUGCAACGCGAAGAACCUUACCUACUCUUGACAUCCAGAGAACUUUCCAGAGAUGGAUUGGUGCCUUCGGGAACUCUGAGACAGGUGCUGCAUGGCUGUCGUCAGCUCGUGUUGUGAAAUGUUGGGUUAAGUCCCGCAACGAGCGCAACCCUUAUCCUUGUUUGCCAGCGAGUAAUGUCGGGAACUCCAGGGAAACUGCCGG